AAUAUCCCCUUAGUGCUUAAUGCUUAGUAAACAUUUUUUAUAUUAUAAAUAUAUGCUAAAUUGUAGAGGGGAGACACUCUAUGUCUCACCGCGCUUGUAAUUACUUGAAAUAAAAUUUUUAAAAAAGCCAACUGCUUAUUCAGAAACAUAAUUGGCGCAGUCAGUAGGAUAGGCGAAACGUCUUGUGCCCAAAAAAGUGAACCUCCAAAAAUCUAAGUUGUGGACUUUCACCGAAAAAUUGUGAACCCAACAAGUGCGUGAGGACUUUCACCUAGUGGCCGCUGGACCUGGACAACUCCACGGACUUCCAAUCAAAAGACGGUGCGUUUCAACGCUUUGACGCCUAUCGAAAAAACCUGAAGACAACGUUGGCAGAUGGAGUACAGUUGGUACAUCUUCGUAACCUGGCUAAUGGUUACCGUUUCGUCAGACCGAAACAUUACAAAUAACCCUGGCAUCCUUCCCAUAAAUUUAGGUAAAGCAAGGCUUCAAUCUUCUUCCCAUCACAUGAUCCACUAUUUUGAUAUUUCCGGUCUUUUAACAGAAUAUAAUAAAUUGCAAACCUACUUAGAAAUCGUGAAAAACUCAACGGCUAAUGAAACUGAAACUCAAAAAGAAAUUCAAAAUUAUUUAAAAAUUAUUCAUUAUAACAUUAAUCUUGUAGACGAAAAACUUUACCCAUUUUUCCAAAAUAAACGAGCAAAAAGAGGAUUAGUUAACAUAUUAGGAUCAAUCAUAAAAACUAUUACAGGAAAUAUGGACUCCGAAGAUAAUGAAAGAAUAACUAGUGUCAUUAACACAAUAAAACAAAAUCAAAAUAACAUCGCACAUCAACUGACUAAUCAAUAUUCAAUUAAUCAAGAAAUAAUUAAUAAAUUCGAAAAAACUAUAAAGGAUAUCGAACAUAACGAGAGAGCAUUGUACUCGUUAACAUCAAAAUUCCAAAACGUCACAAGAAAUCAAAUAAACACUUUAUUUAUCAAAGACACCUUGAACCAGCUUAGUCAUUUAUUCAAUGUAAUUUUGAAUAUUGCUCAAGAUAUUGAAAAUUCAUUGGCAUUUUGUAAAUUACAAACUGUUCACCCAAGCAUAAUAACAAAUGAAGAACUUUUCAAAGAACUUUUGAAAAUCGAAUCUAUUUAUAAAAAUCAUUUACCAUUUCCUGUAAAAUCUGAAAACAUUCAAAAUUAUAAAAGAAUUUUGUCAACCAAAUGUGUCAUUAAAGAAUUCGAAAUAAUUUAUUUUCUUUCUUUUCCUUUGUACGAAACACGUGAAUUAGAAUUAUUUUACUUAAUACCUCUUCCAGACCAGAAAUUUCAAACAAUCAUACCAUCUGCAAAAUAUGUUUUAAAAGGCGAGUCCUAUUUGUGGCCGUUAACAGACAUCUGUGACAAAAUCCAAAAGGAAUACUUCUGUAAAAAUGAAUUAAGGACCUAUGUUAAUAUUUCUUGUCAAAUGGAAAUCCUAUUUAAAAACACGUUCGAAAAAUGUCUUCCAAUCCAGCUCAACAGGCUCCAAACUCUCGAAUUCGUUCCCGAAAUUAAUCAGUAUCUAGGCAUUUUUCCGGUACCAGUUUCCAUCAAAACUUCUUGCUCCAAUGUUUUGGCACAACACCAAAUCCAAGGUGUCUUUCUCUUCGAAAAUCAACUAAACUGCCAAAAAUACGUCAAUGAUCAACUUCUGAUUUUUAAUGACACAACUGAAGGAAAACCCAUAAUCCUAGAAGACUUCAGACUUCCCGCAAGAAAUAAUGUGAAGAUUCCCAAGCUAACCUUGAGGACCCUUCAAGUUACAAGUUUAACUAACAACCUGCCUCGACUUCAGAUGUACCCCUACGAAGAUAGCAAAAAUAUUUGGCACCUAACCGGAACUGCUAUAUUGUAUUUUGUAUUUCUAGCCUUAGCCAUCUGGUUUAUGAUGCAGAAGAUAGCAUUUCGGCGAAGAAACCAAACGGAAGAAGCCCCUGAGCCAGUAGAACUACCCCGCGAUGCCAAAUUUUAGUUCCUCUCCGGAGUUUCGGGCUAAGAGGGGAGGAAUUAUAUGUGCAAAAUAUCCCCUUAGUGCUUAAUGCUUAGUAAACAUUUUUUAUAUUAUAAAUAUAUGCUAAAUUGUAGAGGGGAGACACUCUAUGUCUCACCGCGCUUGUAAUUACUUGAAAUAAAAUUUUUAAAAAAGCCAACUGCUUAUUCAGAAACAUAAUUUCGACAAAUUAAAAGAAGUCUCUAAUUGGUUUUCACCCAUGGGUAAAAUUGACAGAAUUUUUUAUCCAUUGGGAUUGGGACCAAUCAAAAUUGAAAAUAUUGGAAUUUUAUCUUUUCCACCACUUUUAUGUUGGCAAUUGUGUGCCGUAACCGCAGCAAUAUAAUCAAACAAGCCAAAUCAGCUGACAACAAAAACAAACAGCUAAUUAUUUAGUCGGAACUAGUAGUGAAAUCUGUGAUUGUUCAAGCAGUUUUUUGUGACAGAAAGUUAUUUAAAAUGUUGGAAGAAGAGAAUAAAAUGACCUGCACGCCACCUGACAUUCGCAAUAUCGCAACGAGUGCAAUAGAAAAUCUUCUACCACAAAAAUCGCGGCACAAAUAUGAGUGUGUUUAUGAAAGGUUUUUAAAAUGGCGCGCAGAAAAAAAUACAACUUCUUUUUCUGAAAAUAUUAUAUUAAGUUAUUUUGUGAUGCUUGCAGAAAAGUAUUCAUCUUCUUCUCUUUGGAGUUACUACUCAAUGCUUAAAAGUACGUUAGUCAUUCGUCACGAUAUACAUAUUGAGAACUAUAAAAAAUUUCAAGCAUUUUUGAAGCGCAAAUCUGAGACAUACAAACCUAAAAAAUCGAAAACUUUAUCUUCUGAAAAUAUAAAGGAGUUUAUCGAGAAAGCAACAGAUGAAAAAUAUCUUGUAACGAAGGUAAAAAACACAAACUGUUAUAUACAAAUUAUUAAAUACCUGCAUUUCUUCAAGGUGGCUGUAAUAAUGGGUAUAAUGGGUGCCUGCAGAUCUCAAGAAUUGCAUGCAAUAAAACUAGAGCACAUCGAAGAUUUAGAUCGAGCUUUGCUUGUCAAAAUUCCCGAUACCAAAACAAAAGUUUCUAGGAGUUUUACAGUAACGGGAGAAUAUUACUAUAUUUGCAAAAAAUAUAUGAAUCUUCGUCCAACCAAUAUACAAUGUUCAUCUUUUUUCUUGAAUUUUCAAAAUAAUAAGUGUUCAUCGCAAAAAAUAGAUAUUAACAAGCUAGCUGCCAUGCCGAAGAGUGUUGCUACUUUUUUGAAUCUUCAAAAUCCUCAGUUAUAUACAGGUCAUUGCCUACGGAGAUCAUCUGCCACACUUUUGGUUGAUGGAGGUGCUGAUAUUACCGCCCUCAAGCGACAUGGGGCAUGGCGGUCAACAAGCGUGGCUGAGGGGUACAUAGAUAACAACUUAAACAAUAAACUUCAAAUAGGUAAUACAAUUUUAAGAGAAGUUAACAGACCGUGUACAAGCACAUCUGUAAGUAAUGUUCAAUGUACAACUACAAAAGUUGACAGUACCACAGCUGUAACCAAGAAUAAUUGCGAAAUUAAUCUUGGCAAGGAUCCUCCUUUUACUUUCAAUAAUUGUUCUAACUUUACCAUUAACAUUUAUAAUAAAAAUGACAAUGUAACUAACUAAUAUAUUCAUAUCCAAAAGUAUUAAAAUUAACCAACUAAAAAUGUAUUUUUCUUUUUGGUUAUUUAAUCGUAGAUAAAAUUAUAGUUUAAUGUUCAAAAGAAUUAAAAUUGAUCAACUAAGAA